rnacentral:rRNA from 1 species
UACAGAGGGUGCAAGCGUUAAUCGGAAUUACUGGGCGUAAAGCGUGCGUAGACGGUUGCGUAAGUCAGAUGUGAAAGCCCCGGGCUCAACCUGGGAAUUGCAUUUGAGACUGCGUAGCUAGGGUGCGGAAGAGGGAAGCGGAAUUUCCGGUGUAGCGGUGAAAUGCGUAGAUAUCGGGAAGAACACCAAAGGCGAAAGCGCUCUGCUGGGCCGAAACUGACACUGAGAGACGAAAGCUAGGGGAGCGAAUGGG